AUACGUAGGUGGCAAGCGUUGUCCGGAUUUACUGGGUGUAAAGGGCGUGUAGGCGGAGAUGCAAGUCAGGAGUGAAAUCUAGGGGCUCAACCCCUAAACUGCUUUUGAAACUGUAUCCCUUGAGUAUCGGAGAGGCAGGCGGAAUUCCUAGUGUAGCGGUGAAAUGCGUAGAUGAUAGGAGGAACACCAGUGGCGAAUGCGUCCUGCUGGACGACAACGGACGCUGAGGCGCGAAAGCGUGGAGAUCAAACAGUAUUAUAUACCCUGGUAGUCCACGCUGUAAACGAUGAAUACUAUGUGUGGGGUGACUGACCCCCUGCGUGCCGCAGUUAACAUAAUAAGGAUUCCACCUGGGGAGUACGAUCGCAAGAUUGAAACUCAAAGGAAUUGACGGGG
rnacentral:rRNA from 1 species